GAUGAACGCUGGCGGCGUGCCUAAUACAUGCAAGUCGAGCGAACGGACGCGACGCUUGCUUUUCUGAUGUUAGCGGCGGACGGGUGAGUAACACGUGGAUAACCUACCUAUAAUACUGGGAUAACUUCGGGAAACCGGAUCUAAUACCGGAUAAUAUUUUGAACCGCAUGGUUCAAAAGUGAAAGACGGUCUUGCUGUCACUUCUCGAUGGAUCCGCGCUGCAUUAUCUAGUUGGUAAGGUAACGGCUUACCACGGCAACUAUGCAUAGCCGACCUGAGAGAGUGAUCGGCCACACUGGAACUGGGACACGGUCCAGACGCCUAAGGGAGGCAGCAGUAGGGAAUCGUCCGCAAUGGGCGAAAGCAUGACGGAGCAACGCCGAGUGAGAGAUGAAGGUCUUCGGAUCGGAAAACUCUGUUAUUAGGGAAGAACAUAUGUGUAAGGAAAUGUGCACAUCUUGACGGUAACUAAUCAGAAAGCCACGGCUAACUACGUG
rnacentral:rRNA from 1 species